ensembl:lncRNA LINC02292 long intergenic non-protein coding RNA 2292
GAGGGUGGGAGGGUAGCCAGGUGGGAGGGCAGGAGGAGCCAAGAUAUGGAGGCUGAAAGCAGCGCAGUGGGCUUGGGGGAUGCACAGGGCACCCGCUGCCCAGAGAGGUUCCAGUUAGUCCUCCGCCUAAGAAGUGCCCCCAUUGUUCCAGGACUCCUUCCCUCCUUUUCUCCUGCCCUCAUUCCUCCCUUCCUGCCUCUUUUUCCCUCCGCCCUCCCUUUCUUCUUUUUCUUUUUUUCCUUCUCUUCUUCCUGCUUCCUUCACUAGUAGUUACUGGCACCCACUAUGUACCAGCCACUGUGCUGGGCACGGAUGGACACACAUCAGCCCCUGCCCGCAUGGUGGAACAGGGAUAUGGGAGAGAAAGACAACAAACAACUCGGUGUACAAAUAGUCAACUACAGUGGAAAAGCAAAGAUUAAAUCCUCAUACCUCUCUGGAAAAGUGGAGGGGACCACAUUCCAGCAUCUGGUGCCUUGUUUGCCCCAAACAUGACUUCAAGUGAAUCGACAUAAUACUCUUCCAGAGGGAAAGCAGAACCAUCUGCAGGGCUGAGGGACCAAGAAACACAGUGAGGAAUUCCACAGGAGGCCCACGCGGAGGGAUGUGACACCCCAGGUGGACUCUAGGGGACGCUCACUUGGAACUUGCAUCACCCGGAACUGUGUCUGCCACUGUGACUUCAGAGCAGCACAGACCUGAGGUGGAUCCAGCAAUGCCCACAACUGUCCAACAAUUUCACUUUUCCGAGGCUCAGUUUCCAUGUGGAAAAUGGACUGGCUCUGAGUAUUAAAUGAGGAUGAAUGUCCAUAUGCCUCACCCCUUUCUUCAUGAAAGGAAGACACCUCUGGGACUCAGACAAAUGGCCAAUAACAUCUAGUCUUUAUUCAGUCCUAACUGCAUGACAAUACAACUAGCGUAACAGUCAUCAACAUAAGGAAUGCUCUCAAUAUUGCUCGAUGCCCUGUGUGCUAUCACUAAUAGCAACAACUGCUGUUCAUCUAUGCCACGAUAUGCACCAAAUCUACACCACUCCUUUAAGGUGUCACUGUCUCCAUUCCACAGAUGAGAAAACAGCCUCCAGAAGAGGAAAGUGUAGAUGAGUUAAUUUUUCCCUGCCCAACGUUGAUUCCCAUUCCUUCUGAUCAUGGUGCCCUGACUUCUUUGGGAGAACUCCCUCUUCUCUGUGACGGGCUGACUGGUGGGAUUAUCAGUCAAGGUGCCCACCUCCUCUAGCUCUCCCCAUCUCUCUCAGUCUCUGGAGUUUCUGUUUCAAGCAUAAGGACAGAAGAUUAGAAAUGGCUGAAGCUGAUUUGCCCCAGGAGGAGGGUGGGGUCGUGUCCUGAGGAGACGCUCUUGUGGGACCCUGCUUCUUGGACUCCUUGGAUCCCAGCCCCACCCCACCCCCAGACAGCCUUAUUCUGCCUUCAGAGUCUGGUCCUUUGCUUUCCUUUAAAUUCUGAGACCCUCUUGGGUCUGCCCUUUCCCAUGUAGGUUACAGCCAGAUUGGUUUCUGUUGCUUGCAUCCCUCAAACUCUGCCUGACACAGGAAGUGACUCCUCCAGGUCAUCCAGCCCAUGAGUGGCAUAGUCAGAGGAAGCCCUCCGUCACCAGGCUCUCAAGCCAGUGCUCUCUCCAUCAUGCCACAUGGCUGGCCUUGGGGUGGUCCUGCCAUAGGGAGAGCUUUCUGAGAUGGGUCAGGGGGCAGAUUAUCAUCAAAGACCUGGUGAUGGAAAGACACAUGGCAUGGCCUCAUGGUCAUGGAGCCUGCAUGGAGGCCAACAUGCUGGAGGAGAGCUUUGAAGGCAUCCACGGAAGCAGAUGACAGGAGCCUGAAAGCCAUGUGUGGCCACACACCUGCUUCUGACAUAAUUAAUGAGACAUCUAUAUUGUUCCUGUCAGUGAGCUUCUUUGCUACCCAAGCCCUUAGUUCAUCAUGUAUUUUUUAAAGCAAAAAUGGAGGCCUUCCUGAAACAGCCUCCCUCAUUUUGCUUAAUAAUGCUGCAGUAUUGACGUUCUAUGAGGGUGAGGUGACACCAUCUCAGGAUGAUGCACUAGACCCCCAGUGAUUGAUGGCUAUACUUUUUUUUACUGACACUUUGAAAAGAAAGGGCCCCUCUCAGAUUACUGAGCAAGUGGUU